rnacentral:rRNA from 1 species
UACGUAGGGGGCAAGCGUUGUCCGGAUUUAUUGGGCGUAAAGAGCGUGUAGGCGGCUAGAUAGGUCCGUUGUGAAAACUCGAGGCUCAACCUCGAGACGCCGGUGGAAACCAUCUAGCUAGAGUCCGGAAGAGGAGAGUGGAAUUCCUUGGUGUAGCGGUGAAAUGCGCAGAUAUCAGGAGGAACACCAGUGGCGAAGGCGGUGGUCUGGG